rnacentral:rRNA from 1 species
AGUGCGGUAGGGGAGAUUGGAAUUCCUGGUGUAGCGGUGGAAUGCGCAGAUAUCAGGAGGAACACCGAUGGCGAAGGCAGAUCUCUGGGCCGUAACUGACGCUGAGGAGCGAAAGGGUGGGGAGCAAACAGGCUUAGAUACCCUGGUAGUCCACCCCGUAAACGUUGGGAACUAGUUGUGGGGUCCUUUCCACGGAUUCCGUGACGCAGCUAACGCAUUAAGUUCCCCGCCUGGGGAGUACGGCCGCAAGGCUAAAACUCAAAGGAAUUGACGGGGACCCGCACAAGCGGCGGAGCAUGCGGAUUAAUUCGAUGCAACGCGAAGAACCUUACCAAGGCUUGACAUACACGAGAACGGGCCAGAAAUGGUCAACUCUUUGGACACUCGUGAACAGGUGGUGCAUGGUUGUCGUCAGCUCGUGUCGUGAGAUGUUGGGUUAAGUCCCGCAACGAGCGCAACCCUCGUUCUAUGUUGCCAGCACGUAAUGGUGGGAACUCAUGGGAUACUGCCGGGGUCAACUCGGAGGAAGGUGGGGAUGACGUCAAAUCAUCAUGCCCCUUAUGUCUUGGGCUUCACGCAUGCUACAAUGGCCGGUACAAAGGGCUGCGAUACCGUAAGGUGGAGCGAAUCCCAAAAAGCCGGUCCCAGUUCGGAUUGAGGUCUGCAACUCGACCUCAUGAAGUCGGAGUCGCUAGUAAUCGCAGAUCAGCAACGCUGCGGUGAAUACGUUCCCGGGUCUUGUACACACCGCCCGUCA